rnacentral:rRNA from 1 species
UACGUAGGGUGCAAGCGUUGUCCGGAAUUAUUGGGCGUAAAGAGCUCGUAGGCGGUUUGUCGCGUCUGCUGUGAAAACCCGAGGCUCAACCUCGGGCCUGCAGUGGGUACGGGCAGACUAGAGUGCGGUAGGGGAGAUUGGAAUUCCUGGUGUAGCGGUGGAAUGCGCAGAUAUCGGGAGGAACACCGGUGGCGAAGGCGGUUCUCUGGGCCUGUGCUGACGCUGAGGAGCGAAAGCGUGGGGAGCGAACAGG